UGUGGUUUGGUUGGUUAAAGCGCCGGUCAUGCGAAUACGGAGUCGUGGGUUCGAAUCCCACCA
rnacentral:tRNA from 1 species